UACGAAGGGGACUAGCGUUGUUCGGAAUCACUGGGCGUAAAGCGCACGUAGGCGGAUGUGUCAGUCAGGGGUGAAAUCCCGGGGCUCAACCUCGGAACUGCCUUUGAUACAGCACGUCUCGAGUCCGGAAGAGGUGGGUGGAAUUCCUAGUGUAGAGGUGAAAUUCGUAGAUAUUAGGAGGAACACCGGUGGCGAAGGCGCCACUCUGGGCCGAAACUGACGCUGAGGAGCGAAAGCAUGGGUAGCAAACAGG
rnacentral:rRNA from 1 species